AGUCGUAACAAGGUUUCCGUAGGUGAACCUGCGGAAGGAUCAUUAAUGAAUCUAACCAUCCCACGGGCUGUGUGUGCGCGCGCUCUGCUGCUGGCUGAUUGGCUUUCGGGUCGGUCGGUCGGUGGUGGUGGUGCCGCGCACUACACAGUCCGUAUCCACCCCUUGUGAACCGUAAACCCGCUCCCGCCUUUAGGGGAGGGAGCACCAUUUAAAAAACGUUAAACCUGUUUAUCGUGUCUGUCUCUAUUGCAUAAGCGAUUAUGCACUAGUACGUGUCUAUUGAAUGAAUCGAGCCGUGCGCCGCGUCGUAAGACCAGCACACACGUGUAUCCUCUCAGUCAAAAGCACUGCUGUUGCAUAGUUAAUUCAUUUAUAUAUUAAUUAUACAAUACAACUUUUAACAAUGGAUCUCUUGGCUCUC
rnacentral:misc_RNA from 1 species